GAACAUGUAGCUCAGUGGUAGAGCACUUGCCUAGCAAGUAUGAAGCCCAAAGUUCAAACCCUACUGAAGUUCA
rnacentral:tRNA from 1 species